rnacentral:rRNA from 1 species
AGAGUUUGAUCCUGGCUCAGAUUGAACGCUGGCGGCAGGCCUAACACAUGCAAGUCGAACGGUAACAGGAAGCAGCUUGCUGCUUCGCUGACGAGUGGCGGACGGGUGAGUAAUGUCUGGGAAACUGCCUGAUGGAGGGGGAUAACUACUGGAAACGGUAGCUAAUACCGCAUAACGUCGCAAGACCAAAGAGGGGGACCUUCGGGCCUCUUGCCAUCGGAUGUGCCCAGAUGGGAUUAGCUUGUUGGUGGGGUAACGGCUCACCAAGGCGACGAUCCCUAGCUGGUCUGAGAGGAUGACCAGCCACACUGGAACUGAGACACGGUCCAGACUCCUACGGGAGGCAGCAGUGGGGAAUAUUGCACAAUGGGCGCAAGCCUGAUGCAGCCAUGCCGCGUGUAUGAAGAAGGCCUUCGGGUUGUAAAGUACUUUCAGCGGGGAGGAAGGGAGUAAAGUUAAUACCUUUGCUCAUUGACGUUACCCGCAGAAGAAGCACCGGCUAACUCCGUGCCAGCAGCCGCGGUAAUACGGAGGGUGCAAGCGUUAAUCGGAAUUACUGGGCGUAAAGCGCACGCAGGCGGUUUGUUAAGUCAGAUGUGAAAUCCCCGGGCUCAACCUGGGAACUGCAUCUGAUACUGGCAAGCUUGAGUCUCGUAGAGGGGGGUAGAAUUCCAGGUGUAGCGGUGAAAUGCGUAGAGAUCUGGAGGAAUACCGGUGGCGAAGGCGGCCCCCUGGACGAAGACUGACGCUCAGGUGCGAAAGCGUGGGGAGCAAACAAAAUUAGAUACCCUGGUAGUCCACGCCGUAAAC